rnacentral:lncRNA from 1 species
AAAGAUAGGAGCUAAGCUGCCUCUCUCUGUCAAAAAAUACUUUUGUCUGUGAAAAUGGCAAAAUCCAUGCGCUUCUUUGCCACUGUGUUACUUCUGGCAAUGCUUGUCAUGGCUACUGGUUCGUCUUCUUCUCUUCCUAAUUAUCAAACUUUUUUCUUUUAAAAAAAUAAUAAUAUAGUAUUCGAUGUUUAAAUCAAUUAUCUUGACUCCUUAAUAAUAAGUCCGUUGAAUGGAUAAAACACUUUCUAACGAAAGAUUCUUUAUUCACAUGGCUCCGAGACCUCUGAUAACAAGAAAAAAAAUUAUUGUAAUUCCAUAAAGUAAGUACUACUACUAAUAAUAGUACUCUUAUGUCUUCUCAGAAGGGGCACAUUUUUUAAAUACUCCCUUCAUUUAUUUUGUGUCUUUGAUGAAACACAAAGUUCCAAAAAAUUCAGAAGAUUUUUUAGUUUUGGGGUUUCAAAUUAGAGGUAAGCAAGGGGUUGCUCUGAUGGUAAGCAACCACCACUUCCAAUCGAGAGGUUGUGAGUUCGGGUCUCUUCAAAAGCAAGGUGCGCAGUUUUUGGAGGGAAGGAUGUCGGGGGUCUAUUUGGAAACAGACUCUCUACCCAAUGGUAGGGGUAAGAUCUGCAUACAUACUACCAUCUCCAAACCCCACUAAGUAGAAUUAUACUGGGUUGUUGUUGUUUGGUUUUAAAUUAGAGGUGUGUAUAAUAUAUCAAACCCUUUAAAUUUUAUACCCUUGUACAGAUCAUAUAAUUUCCCAUAAAGGGAUGUCAUUUACGGUAAAUCGGAAUUACCUUUUAUCAAACGGGCAUGUAUGAACUUAAGUAGUAAUUACUAACGUUAAGGUGUUUUUUACGUACAGAGAUGGGACCAAUGACAGUUGCCGAGGCAAGACGUUGCGAGUCGAAAAGCCAACGUUUUAAGGGACCAUGUGUUAGAGUGAAAAAUUGUGCCGCCGUUUGUGAGACCGAAGGAUUUUCCGGUGGUGACUGCCGUGGACUCCGUCGCCGUUGUUUUUGUACUAGGCCAUGCUAAGAAUGUUACUAUAUGUUAUAUAUGUAAAACCUGAAUUUGAGAAACUAUUGAAUAAGCAUUAUGAUUGUUCAACGAUUAACGUGCUAGUUUGUUACUAAUUAAACUAGUCGUGAUCUUUGACCGUAUGCAAAUAUAAUGGUACAUUUAAUGUGGUUUGUGAUUUCUAUGGUGUAAUUUCUGUGU